rnacentral:rRNA from 1 species
CUGGCGGUCUGCUUAACACAUGCAAGUCGAACGAACUCUUCGGAGUGAGUGGCGGACGGGUGAGUAACGCGUGAGAAUCUGCCUGUGGGUCGGGGACAACCACUGGAAACGGUGGCUAAUACCGGAUGAGCCGAAAGGUAAAAAAUUUAUUGCCCACAGAUGAGCUCGCGUCUGAUUAGCUAGUUGGUAAGGUAAAAGCGUACCAAGGCGACGAUCAGUAGCUGGUCUGAGAGGAUGAGCAGCCACACUGGGACUGAGACACGGCCCAGACUCCUACGGGAGGCAGCAGUGGGGAAUUUUCCGCAAUGGGCGAAAGCCUGACGGAGCAAGACCGCGUGGGGGGAGGAAGGUUUUUGGAUCGUAAACCCCUUUUGUCAAGGAAGAAGUUCUGACGGUACUUGACGAAUAAGCCUCGGCUAACUCCGUGCCAGCAGCCGCGGUAAUACGGAGGAGGCAAGCGUUAUCCGGAAUGAUUGGGCGUAAAGCGUCUGUAGGUGGCCAGCUAAGUCUGCUGUUAAAGAUCACAGCUCA